rnacentral:lncRNA from 1 species
UUAAUCGCUAACUUAUAUCACCAUGAAAGUUGAAGGCUCCAAGAGAUGAAAGUGGAUAACUAUACUUCUUGUUGGUUUGCUGUCACUUGUUGUGGGCGCAAUUUCGGUAGGGGGAUCAAACCUGCUUCUUUUUACGGGUGAGAUGCCAAAUCCGCCAACACAUAUUCUCGAGCCUGUUGCUUCUUUCAAGAGUGUUCCUCGUUGCUAUAACCUGCACAUCUCCGUUUUAUUUAUCGAAGGUAUAUCUGAUAUUAUGAUUUGAUACUUAAACGAGUUUUGAAGAGGAUAUAUGAAAUUAUCACGAAUACACAAUUUUAUAGUGAACUAGAUUGAGAGGGAUGAAUGAAACCUUGAUCCAGGUUCGGUGGAGGUCGGAUUCAUCAACACUAUUAACAACUUCUUCAACAAAGUAGUUGGUGGGACUGAAGUGUUUAUCGCGCUUGACGUUGUCUUGAAGCUUUUCCAGCUUCAUCUUUGUAUCAACUCCAUUUUGAGUCUUCAAAUUUGCUCCUAAGUCCAAGAUCGCCUCCAAGUACCCGUUUAUCCAUUCGUUCCUUGCCAUCUCAAAACCGCUACCGCUUCCUAGCGGCAGUGGUAGUGGUGGUGGUGGUGAUGGGAGGAGGAGAAGCUUUCUUGGUUUGAAACAGAUAUGUGGGAGGCCUUUGAUGCCUUAUAAAGGCCUUUUGGCAUACAAGACAAUAUUAUGCCUUCUUUUAGUUACUAAAAUUGUUUUGUGAAUACAUAAGAUUCUUUUCACUUUGCACACUUACCUUUUAGCACAGAAACUUAUUUAAAUUGAUUGUAGAAAUAUGUAAAUUAUUUUUAGAACAUAUUUUAGCAUAGGCCGGUUUUUGUGACAAACUCAAGUUAGUUGUGUGAACUGUCAUAUGGUAAUGAAAAUAAGUUAGUUAUGU